rnacentral:rRNA from 1 species
AGCGAACGGACGAGAAGCUUGCUUCUCUGAUGUUAGCGGCGGACGGGUGAGUAACACGUGGAUAACCUACCUAUAAGACUGGGAUAACUUCGGGAAACCGGAGCUAAUACCGGAUAAUAUUUUGAACCGCAUGGUUCAAAAGUGAAAGACGGUCUUGCUGUCACUUAUAGAUGGAUCCGCGCUGCAUUAGCUAGUUGGUAAGGUAACGGCUUACCAAGGCAACGAUGCAUAGCCGACCUGAGAGGGUGAUCGGCCACACUGGAACUGAGACACGGUCCAGACUCCUACGGGAGGCAGCAGUAGGGAAUCUUCCGCAAUGGGCGAAAGCCUGACGGAGCAACGCCGCGUGAGUGAUGAAGGUCUUCGGAUCGUAAAACUCUGUUAUUAGGGAAGAACAUAUGUGUAAGUAACUGUGCGCAUCUUGACGGUACCUAAUCAGAAAGCCACGGCUAACUACGUGCCAGCAGCCGCGGUAAUACGUAGGUGGCAAGCGUUAUCCGGAAUUAUUGGGCGUAAAGCGCGCGUAGGCGGUUUUUUAAGUCUGAUGUGAAAGCCCACGGCUCAACCGUGGAGGGUCAUUGGAAACUGGAAAACUUGAGUGCAGAAGAGGAAAGUGGAAUUCCAUGUGUAGCGGUGAAAUGCGCAGAGAUAUGGAGGAACACCAGUGGCGAAGGCGAC